GCUGACCUAACAGAGAUCCUCACUAUCAACACUAUCAGCGUUGUGAUCCAAAACUAUGGCUACUUCAUGCUGGGUCAACCUCUGUGUGUCAUGGAAGAUUAUAAUGUCUUCCCAUGUGGAAUCACAGCCUUCUAGUCUAUAGUCAUUACUUCCUGGGAGAGGGGAAUGGCUGCCUACAAGCCUUUUAGUAAUGUGUGAUUUGCUGCUAAGCUAGCUAGUGGUAAUCAUCUCUUGGGUCUGGGCUGCUAUGUAGACAACCCCAAUCAUCUUUGUUUGAAACAGAUGCUAGUAUUAUUACCUCAAGAUAUUCAGCGGUCUAAAUAUGCACAGUGACACCUCAUACCCAAGGGUUUAGUCUCAUAUGAUGGUCCUCAUGAUCACAUUUAGCACUGUUCCACUCAGC
rnacentral:lncRNA from 1 species